rnacentral:misc_RNA from 1 species
AUGAAGAACGUAGCGAAAUGCGAUACGUAAUGUGAAUUGCAGAAUUCAGUGAAUCAUCGAGUCUUUGAACGCACAUUGCGCCCCCUGGUAUUCCGGGGGGCAUGCCUGUCCGAGCGUCAUUGCUGCCCUCAAGCCCGGCUUGUGUGUUGGGUCUCGUCCCCCUUCCCGGGGGGACGGGCCCGAAAGGCAGCGGCGGCACCGCGUCCGGUCCUCGAGCGUAUGGGGCUUUGUCACCCGCUCUGUAGGCCCGGCCGGCGCUUGCCGAUCAACCAAAACUUUUUUCCAGGUUGACCUCGGAUCAGGUAGGGAUACCCGCUGAACUUAAGCAUAUCAAUAAGCGGAGGA